UCUUGGCCAGGUCUCCCUUGGAAAAGAGAUCCUUGAUCUCAAUGGGAUUUUUACCUGGUUAAAUAAAGGCUAAAUAAAAAUAAAUAAAAUCAACAUCUGAAUCGAUCACCCCUACUUUACUGUGUGUGUGUGUGUGUGUGUGUGUGUGUGUGUGUGUGUGUGUGUGUGUGUGUGUGUGCGUGUGUGUGUGUGUGUGUGUGCCAUGCUUAGCCAUUCAUUUUCCUCUAGUCCUCCAGUGAUAAUAAUACUUGGGGGGAAAAAUGUGAUUUAUUUUCCACCAUGGUAGUGAGGAUUAGUAUCUUAGAAGUGCUUUCGCUUUGUGGAUUCAUUGCAACAUGGUCUCAAAUUCGAGACUCACACCCGCCUGGAAUUCAUGCACACACCUUCUGCAUGUGAGUCACAAGGAAUACAGAAGUCUAAUUGUGUUUCCCUGAGCAUGCAUCCCUUUGAAAGGAAUCUUUUACUUAGAAUAUUUAGCUUGUAAACACUGGGACACAGCUGUAUUGAAGAUCGGCUGGGCUCGGCAGCUGAUCAGCUGAUCGCCGAUCAGCUAAAAACGGCAAAAAUCGUCCCCGAUCCGAUCACAGGAUUGGGAUCAGGACAUGUCUAGACUAAGCUUACAAAAAUACCUGCAAUGUCGUCAAAGCGUAUUAUUUGAAGCGGAUGUGGUGAGGGAUGACUGUCGCUUCAAUCAAGUCCAGCGGUAAUUUUACAAACAAUAACAACGUGCGCAUGCACACAAACGUACAUUUAAUUUUCCAGCUUCCUUUUCCUCUCCUCAUAUUUCUACGCCUCUCCGCCUAACAACCCACCCCCACUACAUCCUCGCCUGCUCAGGGUUGCUAUGGCUCAGCCUCCAUUGCUCUGGUAUCCAGCGCACGCUGACAUGCUCUGUAACCUGAUUGGCUGCUGCAUCUGCAAGGCAGGGCGCAGAACAAGAAAAGGACAGGAAGGCAUUAAAAAAAAGGGGGAACAGGCGAUGGUGGAGCGCUGAGGCAGAGCAUCUCCAGCAAGAGCAGGGGAACAGUGACUCAAGGAUUGGCAGGACAGCAGGAAAACAAGUCUCAGAUUGGUUUUUAGUUAUUUAUUUUUUGGGAAUAUGAUUGUGAAAAAUGAUGGGAGGAGAAACACCACACGAGAAGGCAAGAUGACAUAAUGAUGGAAAAUAGGAAGAGGUAUCUAAAUGCUGAUAUUUGGAGCCAUCGAGUGAAAAGGAGCACACGGCAGAAAGAAGAAAGAAGGGCGAAGGAGGAGGAACACUUUGGCCGGGGCUCCAGUCGACGUUGGCAAAGUGGCAGGAGAAGAAGACCAGGCGUUCGCCACGACAGAGGGGCGGGAGAGAUCCACAAGGAGAAGGACGAGGGAACACGACGCCGUGUGGAGGCUUGGCGCUGAAAGAAAGGAGAGCGGGGAGGUGGGCUGGACCGCGACGGGAGCGAUGGCUCGGGGCAGCGGCUCCGGGAGGUGGAGCAGGCAGAAGAUGGGUUUGGUCAACACCAUGCUCCGCUGCAACCUCCCACCAGAGACACAGAAGGUGGUGGUGUUCAUCAUCAUGAUGCUGCUCAUUGUCAUUAACGUGGUGCUCAUGUUCCUGCUGGCAUUCCAGUAGGACGACGACACGCUUUCACACACAUGAAAAGCAGGAAAAAGAAAAAGAAAAGGACAGCCGCCUUGUUAAGAAACUGAGCUCUUUUGGACAAAACAGGUACUUGUCAAAAGAGAGGACAGACUCUUAGGUUUGUUAUCAUGUGUGAAUGUCAGCACAUGAACGGCAACCUGACCUACUUUCUGCUUCUGCAUGUUUCAUCCACAUGGCUGCUAAAUGCUAACAGCUAACACCUUCUAAUGAUGGACUUUAAAAUACUUGCACAGUUGAUAUAGUAUUUGCAAUUGUACCAACUUCCUGUCCCAAAUUUGAAAAUGAUUUCCACUCUCCCAAACACCUUUUGAAUGUUUUGUCAUUGAUGUCCUUCUACUCUGCUUAUGUGACCAAUGUGACCAAUCAUACUCGACGUAUCUAACCUGGAAUAUAUCACACUGAACUCAA